UACGAAGGGGGCUAGCGUUGUUCGGAAUUACUGGGCGUAAAGCGCACGUAGGCGGAUUGUUAAGUCAGAGGUGAAAUCCCGGAGCUCAACUUCGGAACUGCCUUUGAUACUGGCAAUCUCGAGUCCGGAAGAGGUUAGUGGAAUUCCCAGUGUAGAGGUGAAAUUCGUAGAUAUUGGGAAGAACACCAGUGGCGAAGGCGGCUCACUGGCUCGUUACUGACGCUCAGGCGCGACAGCGUGGGGAUCAAACAGG
rnacentral:rRNA from 1 species